GCCACGGUAUCCUAACCGUGCGAAGGUAGCAUAAUCACUUGUUCUUUAAAUGAGGACUUGUAUCAACGGCAUCACGAGGGUUAUACUGUCUCCUUUUUCUAAUCAGUGAAACUAAUCUUCCCGUGAAGAAGCGGGAAUACUCCCAUAAGACGAGAAGACCCCAUGGAGCUUCAAACCCAAUUACACCCCUAACCCAUAUAACUAUUUAACCCUUAGGGCCCUGUACCAUUGGUUUUAGGUUGGGGCGACCACGGAGUACAACAAAACCUCCACAAUGAACGGAACUACUCCCUCAUCUAAGAGCUACACCUCUAAGAAUUAAAAUAUUAACAUAAAAUGAUCCAUUUUUUGAUCAAUGAACCAAGUUACCCUGGGGAUAACAGCGCAAUCCAUUUCAAGAGCCCCUAUCGACAAAUGGGUUUACGACCUCGAUGUUGGAUCAGGGUAUCCUAGUGGUGCAGCAGCUACUGAAGGUUCGUUUGUUCAACGAUCAAAACCCU
rnacentral:rRNA from 1 species